CUUGAAUAGAUGGAACCACAUUUAACUUUUAUUUAUUUUUCUGACCAGUCUAUUUUAAGACAUGCAGCACAUUUCGCUGUUGCUACUCUUUCCAAAUUAUGCUUUAAGGGAAAAUAUGUGUGAUUAGCAGCUAAUAAUUAGUGAGAAAAUAUUUAGCAUAUAACAGGACUAUAUCUUACGGCAAAGAGUCUAUUAUUUGUAUGAGUGUGUGCGUGUGCGUGUGUGUGUGUGGGGGGGGGGGGGGGGGGGGGGAGGGGGAAGGACACGACAGAUCCGUGACACUUUCUCACGGUGACUUUUUCUCACGGACUCAGUCGGUGAUGCGCAGUCUCUGAGAAGGAAAGCGCAUGGACAGUAGCAGCUGCAGCAAGAGGACGCGAUUCAGCGGUUUUUUCAACAUUUAUGUCCAACUUUGCUGACUGAUCAGCGCUGGUUUGUGAGCGUGGAGGGCCAGGUUGUCAGUGAGGGAGUGUCCUUUGUGCUGGGGCUUGCUGUUCUGAUGUCAACGUACUACAACUUUAACCUGCAAUACCAGGACAAUGCUGCAUGCUCAUUGGAGUUCAUUCAGAGAAUCUGCAUGGGGAUUAAUCCUGAGAGAGGAUCAAAGGCAUACAGUGGACAGCAGAAAAACUGGAAAGAUGGUCCAGAAGAAACCAUCAACAGUGAACCCGCAUGUCUGCACCCUAAUCAGGAAGCUCAACGACUUCAAGUGGGACUUUGUUUGAUCUUUUCUCAUUGUUUUAACCCUUUGACGCGUACGAACACACCGGUGUGUUGAGUCCUGGCUGGUCCCUGGAGCGUACCAACACACCGGUGUGUUGGAACGCGUCCUUUAGAAUGUCCAGUUUAGCUUAUUACGUAACAAUAAACUCUUCAGCAUUAGCCUACGCGUAUGUUAUAAACAUGAAUCUCAAUUUACUGUAUAUUUUGAGAAAGUUUACCUUUAUUAUCCAUAAGAAAACGUUCAAACAAUUUAGUUUAGCUAAUGUUAGCUGACAGCUAACCAAAAAUAACUCAUGCUUUACUCACGCCACCUAGUAAACCAUAAUAUUAUCCGUUUUCCUUGACUUGGCUAUCGCUUUCAAAAGAUUUUACUAUUGUACAACCAACCAGAGAUCAAAAUAAUAGAUAUACGUUCACAAAUAUGCAUCUAAAACAUCUGACAUUCGUCUGUCUUUCGUCUCGUUUUGAGCUACUAGAGGCCAUCUUUGAUUUUUUUGUCUUCCGGCAACAAAUAUGACCCUUGAUGAUGUACCCCUUGACCCCGUACACCUCAGUAUUUUCUCGUGAGAAGAGUAGGUCAUCUCGUUGACCAUUUGACACCCACAAUGCAGAGUACUGAUCAAAACAAAAAACAUGGCAGCCUACAUUAUCGUCAUUAGCCAAGUUAGCUUCUCGAAAAGCUACACUACGAUAAUAUAUCAUAUCAAUUCACUGUGGAUUCACCUGUGUGAAUAUUUAAAAAUCGGAACAGUAAUGACAGUACUAAGUUAUUUUAAUAAAUAUUUUAAUAAGUUAAAAAGCCCACACCAACACGUUUCUUAAUUUUUAACACGUAUCCUUUUACUCAUUUCAGGUAGCUAAUUACAUGUCCAGGAAAGGGUACAAUCUCGUCAUUGUCACGUUACAUAUCAAUGAAUAUCAUUAGCACACAGCUAUAAAAAAUAUCACAUCAAAAUUAUUUAAAACCUUGACACUGUGUAGGGGUAGGCAAAGCUUCCGUCAACAUAUCGGCAAAAAGGUACAGCAUGUUUGAGUUGUGUGAUGUACUGGCUAUGUUUAGGACAUGAUCCUUUACACAGGAUCCACUAUGGACAUCCAGGAUCAUGAAGGGCUUGGGAUUUCUGGAUCUGUUGUCAUGACAAGUCAACUGGUAUUUAUUGUCAUCAUAUACUUACAGUACACAAUGAAACAAAACAACGUUCUUCCAGG